rnacentral:rRNA from 1 species
ACUCAAAGGAAUUGACGGGGGCUCGCACAAGUGGUGGAGCAUGCGGUUUAAUUCGAUGCUACGCGAAAAACCUUACCAACCCUUGACAUGGUGGUCGUAGCCUAGAGAGAUUUAGGCGUCAGUUCGGCUGGACCACACACAGGUGUUGCAUGGCUGUCGUCAGCUCGUGUCGUGAGAUGUUGGGUUAAGUCCCGCAACGAGCGCAACCCUCAUUCUUAUUUGCCAGCGGUUCGGCCGGGGACUAUAAGGAAACUGCCGGUGAUAAACCGGAGGAAGGUGGGGACGAUGUCAAGUCAUCAUGGCCCUUACGGGUUGGGCUACACGCGUGCUACAAUGGUACUUACAGAGGGAAGCAAGACAGCGAUGUGGAGCAAAUCCCUAAAAAGUAUCUCAGUUCGGAUUGCUCUCUGCAACUCGAGAGCAUGAAGUCGGAAUCACUAGUAAUCGCGGAUCAGCAUGCCGCGGUGAAUACGUUCUCGGGCCUUGUACACACCGCCCGU